rnacentral:lncRNA from 1 species
GUUUUAUAUCUGUUUUAGUUGUUUUAACCUAUAAUUUAUUUUUUUUUUAAUCGCUUUAUAUUGAAAAUUUUAAUUAAAAAUUACUUAGUCGUGAUAGCUAAAUGAGGGGACCAUUGAAAGGGACGUUUUUAAACCUCUUUUGGACACUUUUUUUUUGUUCAACACCUUGUAUUUUAUCAAUAAGAUAAUGAAGUUGAAUUCUAUCAAAA